AUACCUUAUGAGGUAAUCACCUAUCUUACUGAGAAUGCUCCUAAGUCCUUUUCGAUUCACUCUAACAUUAAGGAUAGACUAGUCUGGUCGUUAAAUACAACUGGGGAAUUCUCGGUCAAAUCAGCAUGGGAGAAAGAGGCGUAUUCUAUUCCGCCUCUUGCCUUUUGUCUUAACAGAGCCUCGCUAACAAGCACUGCCUAUUAGUAUAAAAAAGUCGGAUCGGGC